rnacentral:rRNA from 1 species
AUUGAACGCUGGCGGCAGGCUUAACACAUGCAAGUCGAGCGGGGACUUCGGUCCUAGCGGCGAACGGGUGAGGAAUGCUUGGGAAUCUGCCUUGUAGUGGGGGAUAACGUUUCGAAAGGAACGCUAAUACCGCAUACGUCCUACGGGAGAAAGGGGGGGAUCUUCGGACCUCUCGCUAUAAGAUGAGCCCAAGUCGGAUUAGCUAGUUGGUGGGGUAAAGGCUCACCAAGGCGACGAUCCGUAGCUGGUCUGAGAGGAUGAUCAGCCACACUGGAGCGGAGACACGGUCCAGACUCCUACGGGAGGCAGCAGUGGGGAAUAUUGGACAAUGGGCGAAAGCCUGAUCCAGCCAUGCCGCGUGUGUGAAGAAGGCCUUCGGGUUGUAAAGCACUUUAAGCGAGGAGGAAUGGCUCUGGGUUAAUACCCUUGAGCAGUGACGUUACUCGCAGAAUAAGCACCGGCUAACUCUGUGCCAGCCGCCGCCGUAACAC